CCUACGGGCGGCUGCAGUAGGGAAUAUUGGACAAUGGGCGAAAGCCUGAUCCAGCAAUGCCGCGUGAGUGAUGAAGGCCUUAGGGUUGUAAAGCUCUUUUACCCGAGAUGAUAAUGACAGUAUCGGGAGAAUAAGCUCCGGCUAACUCCGUGCCAGCAGCCGCGGUAAUACGGAGGGAGCUAGCGUUGUUCGGAAUUACUGGGCGUAAAGCGCACGUAGGCGGCGAUUUAAGUCAGAGGUGAAAGCCCGGGGCUCAACCCCGGAACUGCCUUUGAGACUGGAUUGCUAGAAUCUUGGAGAGGCGAGUGGAAUUCCGAGUGUAGAGGUGAAAUUCGUAGAUAUUCGGAAGAACACCAGUGGCGAAGGCGGCUCGCUGGACAAGUAUUGACGCUGAGGUGCGAAAG
rnacentral:rRNA from 1 species